rnacentral:rRNA from 1 species
UGGGGAAUUUUGGACAAUGGGGGAAACCCUGAUCCAGCCAUCCCGCGUGUGCGAUGAAGGCCUUCGGGUUGUAAAGCACUUUUGGCAGGAAAGAAACGUCGCGGGUUAAUACCCCGCGAAACUGACGGUACCUGCAGAAUAAGCACCGGCUAACUACGUGCCAGCAGCCGCGGUAAUACGUAGGGUGCAAGCGUUAAUCGGAAUUACUGGGCGUAAAGCGUGCGCAGGCGGUUCGGAAAGAAAGAUGUGAAAUCCCAGAGCUUAACUUUGGAACUGCAUUUUUAACUACCGGGCUAGAGUGUGUCAGAGGGAGGUGGAAUUCCGCGUGUAGCAGUGAAAUGCGUAGAUAUGCGGAGGAACACCGAUGGCGAAGGCAGCCUCCUGGGAUAACACUGACGCUCAUGCACGAAAGCGUGGGGGAGCAAACAGGAUUAGAUACCCUGGUAGUCCACGCCCUAAACGAUGUCAACUAGCUGUUGGGGCCUUCGGGCCUUGGUAGCGCAGCUAACGCGUGAAGUUGACCGCCU